AGUGAACGCUGGCGGUAGGCCUAACACAUGCAAGUCGAACGGCAGCACAGUAAGAGCUUGCUCUUACGGGUGGCGAGUGGCGGACGGGUGAGGAAUACAUCGGAAUCUACUUUUUCGUGGGGGAUAACGUAGGGAAACUUACGCUAAUACCGCAUACGACCUACGGGUGAAAGCAGGGGAUCUUCGGACCUUGCGCGAUUGAAUGAGCCGAUGUCGGAUUAGCUAGUUGGCGGGGUAAAGGCCCACCAAGGCGACGAUCCGUAGCUGGGCUGAGAGGAUGAGCAGCCACCCUGGACGUGAGACACGGGCGAGAAUCCUUCGGGAGGGAGCAGAAGGGUAUAUUGGACAAUGGGCGAAAGUGUGGUAGACCUAUGCCGCGUAAGUGAUGUUGGUCGUAGGGUAGUAAAGCCCUUUUAACCGGGAUGAUAAUGACCGUACCGGAAGAAUAAGCCCCGGCUAACUUCGUG
rnacentral:rRNA from 1 species